CAGUAGCGUAUAUUAAAGUUGUUGCAGUUAAAAUGCUCGUAGUUGAAGUUCGGAUGCAGCAGAGCUUGGAAACGCUGUUAUGGUGCUUCCGUUGCUUUUGCUUGUCCACAGUGCGUUGCAAGUACGUAUGUGCUUGUGCGUGCAUUUUACUUUGAGAAACAUAGGGUGUUCCACGCAUGUUACGGCAUGAAUAUUCCAGCAUGGGAUAAUCUGGUACGACUUCCAAUCUGCCAUUUUGGUUCGUAGGUUGGAAGUAAUGAUUAAUAGGGACUGUCGGGGGCAUUGGUAUUUGACUGUCAGAGGUGAAAUUCUUAGAUACGUUGAGGACCAACCACUGCGAAAGCAUUUGUCAAGGAUGUCUCCAUUAA
rnacentral:rRNA from 1 species